CUGAAAAAUGACAUGUCGUCCUUGGAGCUAUGACUUGUGCUCGUCGGCCAUGGAGGAGCCACCGUCAGCCACCGCCACGGAACCACCGUCGACAGAAGAGGACUAAGGCUCACACUCAGACUCAGAGCACUGAGGACCAUGAGAAACGAGGUCGACCUGCCGAUCGGUGACUUCGAAGAAACGAGGUCGACCUGCGCUGGACCUUCCGCCGCAGAAACUCGCCGGUAUCUCACCUUGAUUGGUACUUCAAUUCCCGAACUAAUUACGAUCGAAUAACCAUAUUGGAAACGCCAUUAGAAAUUAUCCACUAGUUAUUAAAUAGUUGAGUUGGUUGGUUUGUAAUUUCCUUUAUGCUUGAGUGCUAGACUGACAAACCUCAUUUAUUUUCCUCUUGUUCUGCUUCUAAGAGUGCUUCGGGGAUACUGUGUUUGCAAAAUGCAAGUGUUAGUAUCAGCUUUCUAUUUAGUUUAUUUUCUCUUAAGCUGGUGUUUAGUAUUUUGCACUAUGCUUUUGCUUUUCGAUGAUGAGAAUCCAUUGAUUGAGCUUACUGAUGAUGAAGAGGAGGAUGCAACAAACUUGGUACGAUACCAAUUCCUUGUGCAUCUGUUAAAAAGGCUGUAGCCUGUAGGGGAGAGGAUUGUUCCCGCCACUGAUAAUCGAAAGCCAUACUUUGUAAAUCAUAGCAAAAAUGUUGUGUUAUCUUUGUCUUGCUUGGUAUUUGUCCAUGUUAGUCAAAGCAUGCUUUCCUUCAAGUUUACUGUCCUGUUUAUAGUGUCUUUUUGCCUGCCACAACUCUGCGUGUUGAUUUAUGUUGGUUUGGACGAAAAUAUACAAAAGAGGACGCGAUUCUGAAUUUUCCAGGAAGUAUUUGAACACAACAGACGAGAUAUAACUCUUGCCAUCAUGAAGAAUUACCCGUUACUUCUAUGUAAGU
rnacentral:sRNA from 1 species